GACGUAGGGCGCGAGCGUUGUCCGGAUUUAUUGGGCGUAAAGAGCUCGUAGGCGGCUCAUUGCGUCAACCGUGAAAUCCUGCUGCUCAACGGCAGGUCUGCGGUUGAUACGGGUGGGCUGGAGUUCGGUAGGGGAGACUGGAAUUCCUGGUGUAGCGGUGAAAUGCGCAGAUAUCAGGAAGAACACCAAUGGCGAAAGCAGCUUUCUGGGACGGUACUGACGCUGAGACGCGAAAGCGUGGGGAGCGAACAGG
rnacentral:rRNA from 1 species